GGGCUGUGCUGGCAGGAAAAGACUUUCCAAGUCUUUCACAACCCACUUCCCAGGGUCUUCCCUCCCCCAGAAGCUGACCCGCCUCACAUUGCUACUUCCCUUAGCCUGACAGCCAGGCUUACAACAAAUCAGGAAGCCAGCAUCCCCCCAAGCCCCUGCAGGAGCCUGUACCUCCUCCUCCUCUAUUCUGGGUCAGCAGAGGAGCCAGGCUGCCAGCUCUUGGCUCCAUCUGCUGUCCCCUGUGGCCGGCGAGGUGUGAGGGUGACUCGUUAAGAGUCUAGCAAGGAAGAUGGGACUUUCUCACCCCUUAUGUCUGGAAACAGCUUUGGCUCUGGAAUUUCCCUGGGCACUCAGCCCGGAAGGAAGGAGAGAAAAGAAGGAGAAAGAAAGCAAUAAAGAGAACAGCAGACUGCCGCCUGAGAGUCCUGGCCAGCAGGGCGAGAGAUUGGAAAUGAAGGCUGAGGCGCAAGCUGGGUGCUCCUCUCUCAAGAGGCUGGAUCAGGAAUGGACCCAAUGGCUGGAAUGGCGUCCUUACUCUCCUGGAGACAGCUGGGUACCCGAGCCUCUCUGCGCACUUCCGUGAAGAUGUUUUCUCAACCCGGAGCAGCAUGACUGAAACUCAGAGGGUUGGAGGCAGCAGUUUUCCUCUCUGGGCCUUGCAGCUUUCUGAGCAGUCAUAAAUUAAAUUUGAACUUGAACUUAGGCAGUCUAUAUCCCAGCACGCCUCAGUUGGUUACUUUCCUGUAGGUCCUUAAACCUUGACACACUGAGGUUUUCAGCGCCAUGACCUUGGAGAGGGCCCCCGUUGACCCCACAUGCAGCCACUGGGGCUGCCUUUGAACCGCACACCCUUAAGAAAAUAAGACCCAGAUGGGUGUGCGGCCAUAGCUGGUUGCCAAAGUGCUGGAGAGUUCUCCAGCCAUUACCCAAAAAUAAAGUGCUCCCAUUCUCAGACGGGCAGCCCAGAGCCAGGAACAAUUAAAGCAUAGCACCUUAAAAAGGGACGAUCAGCAAGGCCUCUCCAGGGCAGAAGCAAAUCAAAUCCUUCAAACACAAUGCAAAUGACUCGGGCUCAUCUCACCAGUAAUAACUGUGUUUGGUGAUGCUGCUUUUCUAAGUUUCCCAAGUAUGCAGCACAAUUCUUCCCUUUGCUUGGCUUUUCCCUAAUAGUGCAACCUAAUUAAAUAUGAUUAGUUUCCAAAUUGCAUUAAGCUGGAGCCCCCACAUGCAGACAACCCUGAAUCUAAUUAGAGGCUACCGCAAGCGUCGGAAAAGCCCGCAGACAUGACACCGCUCCAUGAAGCAUAAUUGUCUGCAGCAUUUAAUACUUCAAUUUUCUCAGUGACGAGAGGGAGAAAAAUAUGUUGCAAAAAAAAGUUGUGUUUUUCGGCGGCAGUUUGACAACUUUAACAAAUAGCUUUGCAUCCUAAUAUAACAAGUUCCCGGUAGACAUUCCAGAAAGGGUGUGAUUAGAAGGGCUUCAUCGGGCUGGGGAGCGGGUUGGCCCUCGGCAGCUCCCCACCCCGAGUGACUUCGCAGCAUUUGACCCGUUAAAAGGAAGCAGACACAAUAUUUAUGCACGCAGCAAAUCACACUCAUGUCAACCCCAAACCUCCCGUGAGCUCAUGCUCAAAAAAUGGUACUAGUUCGGAAACGGAGAUGCAGACGGGGCCAAGAGAGGGAGGAAGCCUGGAGAGCUCAGCCCCAGCCACCCCAGUUUGCUGGAUGAGACAAACCCAGCUGCAAACACAGCCGAGUCACUCUCCACCGCUUGGUACAGAUCUAAUUAGCAGAGGGGCUGAGUGUGGAAAAAAAGUUCCCUGAGUGUGGAAGAAAAAUAAAAGGGAGGAGUGAGUCAAUGCUUUUCCUAGU
rnacentral:lncRNA from 1 species